CACACUUGCACUACAUUUCCUCCUGAUAUUCAAUUAGUUGUUGUGUUUUCAGUUAAUUUUGUGAAAAAAAUGUCUUCAGAUUAUGGAAAGGUGGAGACAGAUGUUGAACUCAAGACAUCUGCUGCCAAGUUCCACGAGUUCUUCACCAAAAGACCACACCAUCUGAGCAACAUCAGCUCAGACAAAAUUAAGGACUGCAAUCUUCAUGAAGGCGAAUGGGGAACGGUGGGUUCUAUCGUCCACUGGAACUAUGUCCAUGAUGGCAAAGCUAAAGUUGCCAAGGAGUUGUUUGAGGCCAUAGAUGACGAGAAGAACUCGAUCACUCUGAAAGUGGUGGAAGGAGACCUUCUGGAGCAUUACAAGAGCUUCAAGAUCACCAUUCAAGCCUCUCCAAAAGGUCAGGGAUGCACUGUGCAUUGGACAUUUGAAUAUGAGAAAGUGCACGGCGAUGUUGAAGACCCUCAUACUUUGCUCCAGCUCGCUGCUGAUCUCUCCAAAGACAUCUGUUCUCACCUAAGCACCUAAUUAAGUAUGGAAGACGAACAAAAAACUAAUAAAAAGCCGGCUCUGACUGGUAAGAUAGAGACAGAUGUAGAUAUCAAGGCUUCUGCUACAAAGUUCCACGAAAUGUUCACCCACAAACCACACCACAUUUCCAAUGCCAGCUCCAGCAACAUUCAAGGCUGUGAAUUACAUGAAGGUGACUGGGGAACAGUCGGUACUGUCAUCUAUUGGAAUUACGUCCACGAUGGGAAAGCUUGUGUUGCCAAGGAAAUAGUUGAAGCCAUAGACGCGGAAAAAAACUUGGUGACUUUCAGAGUCAUUGAGGGAGACCUUAUGGAGCAUUACAAGAGCUUCUUGCUCACCAUUCAAGCCAAUCCGAAAGACGAGGGCUGCACUGUGCACUGGACUUUAGAGUAUGAGAAGCAUCACGGCGAUAUUACCGAUCCGCAUACGCUGCUCCAGUUUUGCGCCGAGGUUUCCAAAGACAUCGAUGCUCACCUUACUGCCGAAGAAGAGAAGUUGAAAGAGAUCGAUACCCCGCGUGCGUUUGGUAAGGUGGAGACACAUAUUGACAUCAAGGGUGCUGCUGAGAGAUUCUAUGAUGUGUUCCUGAACAGGCCACACCAUAUACCCAAUAUGAUCACCUCCCAAACCCGAGCCAAGCUUCCCAGUGUUGAUCUUCAUGGUGAUGAUCACCAAUCAGGUGGAGCAGUCGGUACCCUCGUCUCCUGGAAUUAUAUUCAAGAUGGGAAAGCAAAAGUAGCCAAGGAGAUAAUCGAAGCCAUAGACAAGGAGAACAAUUUAUUGACUUGGAAAGUGAUCGGAGGAGACCUACUUGAGCAUUACAAGAGCGUCAAGUUCAUUCUGCAGGUUACUUCUCGAAGUGGUGAUCAGGCCUCAUCAGUGGUGCAUUGGAUUUUGGAAUAUGAAAAGGUGAAUGACAAUGUUCCAGAUCCUCAUGCUUUGCUCCAGCUGGUAAUUGAAAUCAACAAGGACAUUGAUGCUCAUCUAAACACUUAA